rnacentral:lncRNA from 1 species
UUUUUUUUUUUUUUUUUAAAUUGCAUUUUGGACUUCAGCUUCUGCCAAGAAUUAGAUGCUGAAUUGGAAUUAACCUCUCCCUUGUCCGUAAUCCAAAUGUACUUUGUUUCUACGACUUAUGAACUACUCAUUACAGUCUGCAUUCAUUAGCUCAGAAUCACAGAUCUGCCCAUAUAAUUCCUCUUCAAACCUUCAAUAUUUCUUGGCUUGGUAUUUAAUACCCUUCCUUCAGUAUUUCUUGGCUGGGUAUUUAAAACACUUCCUUUAACAUUUCUUGGUUUGUUAUUUAUUACACUUCUUAAUCUGGCCUUGUCUGGAACCUUUACCAUCUUUUUCCACUCUUCCCAAUACAACUUGAUUUCUUCGCCAUAUCGGGCUAUUUGCUGUUUUCUGAACUUGAGAUUGUUUGAUGGCUUUGCUUGUGCUGUUCCCUCUGCCAUUGUCCAUCUUGUCACUGAUAUUCAUCUUUCAAGGUCUAUCACAUGUUAGCUAUUCUCAUACACACUUCCUCAACUCCCUGAGAAGAAAUUAAUGAAACUCCUAGCAUUGUUUCUUUAGUACUUUAUGUUCCUUCCAUGAUAAUACUCACCAUAUCAUAACUAGGGAGAUAGGAGAGCUUGUUGUUUCCUGUGCUGAAGUUUGUGUUCUUUGAGGUCUGAUGACAUAUCCUUGGGUAGGAGGAGAUCUAGGAUCUGAGAGUCAGGAAGUCAAGGUUCCUUCACGUUCAUGAUGAGUCAUAGCAAUAAUGACUGUAGUGGGGUGCAGAGGAAGACAGAGCUAGGGGCUAAAGUUGUCUACAAAUGAGGAGAGUGACGAGGUGGUUGGUGACCACGACAAUUACACUGCAAGGGUGACGUAUUUGCAAGAUACAAGUUUUAAGAGAGCAGUAGUUUUGGGAGGAAGUGGAUGAGAGUGUUGGACUAGAAGUGGCAAUGAGCGUGAGGAAGGAUGCUCUGAUGCAUGAGCAAGAAAAGUAAAAGCCUCCAUGCGAGCAGUCUUCCGAGCAGUACUUAGAGGGCUUAGAGGUUUUAGUAAGACGAGUGAAGAGAACAUUGUAAGAAAAGAUGGAGAGUAGAGAGGAGUAUUCAGUUGACCAAGGGAAAUUUGAAAGGUUUGAAAGAGAGGGGAAAGGCGAUGAGGAUGGUCCAAUUCAUUGUACAGACCAGGAUAAAGAAGGAGAUCGGCAAUCAAGGGGAUGGGAGAGUGAGGCAUAGCAUGUUGGUCUUGAUGGUCUCUUCUCUGUGCCUAGACAACUGGUCCAGUGACCAAGACCUCCCUCCGUGAUGCAAUGGCUCACAGAACUGGGAUUCUUGAGACUUCUUGGAAGUUGAUGGUUCACAUGGUUCUGUCUUGGGGUGUGUACAAAUGCAGCACAGAGGUUCACCUCACUGGACUUUGUCUCCUUUCAUAUGAUACAAGAAGAUUCGAUUUAAUAAUUCUGAAGAUUGACUAUAGCUAUUAUUGUACAAAAAAGUUUUGCUUCUCUCUUCAGUGAGUUUAGGCAGCCCAUGUUUCUUAAAUUAUUUGCCAUUUAAAAGAGGGCUACUUCCUAAAGGCUGAAAGGAGAAUAUAUUAUUUUUUUUUCACCUUCAUUCAAAAGGAAAUUAUUGAGCACCUACGCUGAGGUCUCACACUGAUGUGUUAGAAAAGAAAUGAAUAAAUCCUGUUUUCUCUAAGAUCUUUCAAACUAUUCGGAGGGAUGCCACAGCCCAGGAAUAAAUGGUAUCUGUUGAAGACAUGUGCCUUUAUGCAAACUUUUAAAAUGAGACUACCUUGGAGUUCCCUUCGUGGCGCAGUGGUUAACGAAUCUGACUAGGAACCAUGAGGUUGCAGGUUCAAUCCCUGGCCUUGCUCAGUGGGUUAAGGACCUGGCGUUGGUGUGAGCUGUGGAGUAGGUUGCAGAUGCGGCUUGGAUCCUGCGUUGCUGUGGCUCUGGCGUAGGCCGGCAGCUGCAGCUCCGAUUCGACCACUAGACUGGGAACCUCCAUAUGUUGCAGGAGCAGCCCUAGAAAAGGCAAAAAGACAGAAAAAAAAAAAAAAAAGACUACCUUUACCCUGGUCUACUUUCUGCUUAAACUAAUCCCUUAACCUUCACUAGUUUUAUUUGGCCUUCAAUAUCUUACAGAAGCUAAUUGGGAAGUCAUGACCUUAUGUCAAAUGUUUGAAGAUUCUAGUGCCAGGGUUAGAUUUAAGGUGUCUUGAGGUCCUGCUGUAUAGCACAGGGAACUAUAUCCAUUCACUUAUAUCAUAUUUUCUAGAACAAGGUAGAAAAUAAUAUGAGAAAAAAAAUGUAUAUGUAUGUGUGACUGGUCACUUUGCUGUACAACAGAAAUUGACAGAACAUUGUAAAUGAACUAUACUUUAAUAAAAAAAAUAUUUUUAAAAAAGAAAAAAAGAAGAUGUCUUGACCUCAAGAUAAUAUAAUUUUAAUGCCCGAGAUGGAGCUGGCGAAAUAGGCACAUAGCUUCUUCCUCUCCUUUGCUUUGACCAGUUUAUUUUCCUCUGAAAAAGUUCAGAGGCAGGAAGUGAGAAGAUAUUUCUUGGUCCCUGUUCAUAGGGAGGGGAAAACAUCCAGGUAGCUUGGAGCUGACUGAUUCUAAGAAUUGUUGCUUAGGUGACCAGGCACCUUUUCACUAUGAAAUUAUAGCAGAGAAGCCCUAGACAGAGGUCAGGAGGUGUUUGUUUUUACAUUGUGGUCAGGUGCUAAUUCAUUGCGUGACCUUCUUAUCACUGGGACUUCCUCCUUGGGAAAAUGAGAGGUUUGGAUUAGAGGGUCUAGAACCUCUUCCAGCCUGAGCUUCUGUGGUUCCAAAAGUCACCCUUUGGAUCAGUAGGAAACUGGCUUUUCUGUCUUUAGGUGCCUUGGCAUUCUUAGGACAAGUGAUACCUUGGAUCCUUGUCUUCAAAUUCAAAAUUCAUUUUUUAAUUGUAAAAUAUUGUUCAGGUACUUUUCGGAAUGGCUUUUGUUCCUGUGCCUUGACAAAUGUGUUUAGAAAGAGAGAGAGGUGAGAGAGAAUGCAAGAUAUAGAAUUUAACAAUGCUGAACAUUUUUGUGUAAGGUUGUUUUGUUUUUAGGGCUGCACCCAUGGCAUAUGGAGGUUCCCAGGCUAGGGGUGGAAUGAGAGCUGUAGUCGCUGGCCUACACCUCAGCCACAGCAACGUGAGAUCCAAGCUGUGUCUGUGACCUGCACCACAGCUCAUGGCAAUGCUGGAUCCUUAACCCACUGAGCGAGGCCAGGAAUUGAACCUGCAUCCUCAUGGAUGCUAGUCAGAUUCGUUUCUCCUGAGCCAUACGGGAACUGCCUGUUUUGUUUUGAAAUCUUUCCUCCUUUUCUCUUUUUUUAGCUAUGUCCUUGGCAAGGGAAGUUCCCAGGUCAGGGAUCGAACACACGCCACAUUUGCAGCCUGUGCCAUGGCUGUGGCAAUGCGGAAUCUUUAAACCUUUGCACCCAAAGGAACGUCCAAGUUGUUUUGUUGAAAGCACAUCUUUGAAUCCCUGGAAACCCGAGAAAGAAAAUAUAUGUGUUUCAGGAGUGGCUCCAGAUGAAUUCAUGCCCAGCCGGCUAUGAGGAAGAAGAUGUCAGCAUUUGUCAUCCAGGAGUGUCUGGUCCUUAGAGUGCCCUCCAUCACCUGGUGGUUUGCCAUAUCCCACAGGCCACCGACUGGUCACCUCCCACGAGGGAAACUCUGCUAGUGAAUGAGUUGUCUAUUAGGGUCAUAAAGAAAGAGCUUGUACCACAAUCUGACCGACUUUGAUGAAUAGUCAUUUAAAUUUAUUUAUUUUAUAGCUUCAGCUGUUUUUACAGUUGUUUGAAUCAUUUCUGUGUGACUUUAGGGAAGUUAUUUAAUUGUUUAGUACUUCCAUUUCUUUGUCUGUUAAAGUCAGCAUCUCCUGCUUCACAGGGUUGUUGUGACAAUUUUAUGAGAUGAUGUUUGUGAAAACAUAUUUUAAACUGUUAACACGAUGGACAUGUGGGUCCUUAUAUCCAGUUGGACAAGUAAUGGCCAAGAAAUUAAUUUUUCUUUCUUAAACCCCCAAAGACAAUAUGUUUCUAUACACCAGAUUUUUUUCUCAUCAUUGUCUUGUGAAGUGUAAUCGACACCAUCGACUUUGAGUAAAUUUGCCAAUUUGGUAGCUUUGGAUCAGACUGGCCAAAUUUUCUGUAAAUCCAUUCUGAGCAGGACUCUGUUAUUGUUGGAACUCCAUAUCAUUAACUGAUGCUUGCAGCUGCCAAGACUUUACCACAAUUGAAGAAAUCACCAUGGAAAUCAGACGUAUACCUGAAUGCCUUUAGAUUUGUUCAUUUAAAUCUGAUCCUCAAAGUAUUUGUUUUACUCAUUAUGCUGCCUAAUUUGCCUAAAAUAAAUCAGGAACCAGUCAGCACUCAAAUCCUGGGGUAACUGGAGGCUUUGGUGUCAGCAGUAGCAUUCACAUCUCUUCCAUCAUGAGUGCCUGCUAUUUUUUUGAAAGUGUGUGUGUUGGAAAUAUGAACCAAGAGGGUGCCUUUUGCUUGCAAUUGCGAGUAUUAUUUUUAGUUCAUCUAUAAAUGGAUAUAAAAUGCUGCUGUUACCUAAUUGGAACAAAAGGCUGUUUGUUUUCACAUAUCAAUCUUACCUACAGAAAACUGGAUGAGAAAUGGUUUGGAUGAAUAUAUUCUAAUUAAUCACCAUAGAAAUAUGUAUAGUACUUGCAAAAUUAAUCUAUGCUUUUGAGACAACACACUUAGGGGACAAGUAAACAUAUGGAUAUAUCCCUUAGAAUAAUAAUAGAAUGAUGUAUAUUCUGACAUUAAUUAAUGAAUGAGUCUUUAUAAGAGUAAGUAAAGGAACACACUUAAGAUGAGAGAACAGAUUUGAUUGUGUCGACAUGAUAGUCCACAGUGGUACCCUGCCGGCUUGGAAUCUGUGCAGUAUUUUGUUAUGAAUAACUGUUAGGAAACACAAUAAGAGGGAGGAAUUCAGGCAAGUAAAACCUUCAUUUACUAAGUAACGUUGUGUAGGUGCUGGAGGCUGGGAGCCUGCUUCUUAUUUAGGAUUCCAAACAAAGAAUGAUAGGCAAGGGAGCCCACUCACUUCCUGCCCUGUAGUUUGGGAAC